GACAGAGGUGCCGAGCGUUAGGCGGAAUCACUGGGCUUAAAGCGUGUGUAGGCGGAUGCCUAAGUACCUUGUGAAAUCCCACGGCUUAACCGUGGAACUGCUUGGUAUACUGGGUGUCUUGAGCCACUUAGGGGCGACCGGAACAAACGGUGGAGCGGUGAAAUGCGUAGAUAUCGCUUGGAACGCCGAAGGUGAAAACAGGCUGCUGGGGUUGCGCCGACGCUGAGACACGAAAGCCAGGGGAGCAAACGGG
rnacentral:rRNA from 1 species